UUGUUUAAUUAUUUUUAGUUAACUUUUUUUUUUUCAAGCUACGAGAUGUUUUCCUACGUUUCUCAUGAAAAAUGAUGUCUCAGGAAUGUAGGGUUUGGGAAUUAUGGCAGGUUUAAAAUAAAAUAUGAAAAAUCAAAAUUAAAUCUGUCCUCCACUAUAGCUGUGACAUCACGCACUCUAAAUCUGAAGAAGUCCUCUUUACCAAGUUCUGAACAAUGUUUAAUAUCUCUAAAAGUAAGAAUCAGAUUUAAAAAGUUGUGUUACACGAAUAAUGUCAGAAAGAUGUGUAACAUUUUAAAGUUGGAAUGAGGUUUCUGAGUGAAAGUAUGAAGGAGCAGUUAGCAGUUGAAGUUACAUGAAGAUUGUUCAAGUCUGAAGAGUUUCUCCAUUGACUUCCAUGUUAAAAAGUUGAUGAAUUAUGGUAUAUAUCUGGAAUUAUGAAAGUUAUGAAUAAGAAAAGUAAUAGCCAUCGAUUCCCGACCGAGCUGAACGUUUUGAUGUUUGAACGGAGUUUCUGCGAUGUGGGAUGUGGGAGAAGAAGAGUUGCAAAAUAACCCGGCGGAAUAAUAAAGAAUUUGUGCGUAGCAUAACAGAUAGUCGGAAUGCUGUAUCAGCAUUCCCACUAAAAUACUUUUCCCACUGCAUGUUAAGUGCUGAAGUAUUUCCCUGGAAGGCAGAUUAAGGCUGUAAGCAAAUACAAACAGGUUAGUCAACUAAGAUGUGGGGAUUCAGUCAAGCACACCCACCUGUUCGACGGCCUUUCACAUUUUACUACUUCCAAAAUCUUCUCCAGUAUGAUCACAAUUCUAACAAUCUGCAAUAUUUACUGCCUCAGUACAAAUACAAAGCUACACUCUUAAAGUGUCUUUUAGGACAACUUCUAUCUUGCCUAAGAUAGUCUUUGCAGUCAAACAUAUAAGCAUAUAAAACAAACGGCAAAACAUACGUUUUAGCCAAAAACUAGAUAUUAUGUUGUGGGGCCAUAAUCGGCUAUCAAAAAAACAAGGUUUUCAUCAAGGUUUUUGAGAAAGCUAUCAUCUCCCUGUCGUCAUGCAAGAACUUAUCAACUGAAGGCAUCAGCACAAAGUCAUUUCCCAAAAAUGUAACGUCUGCAAUGUGCUUACUCAGCGUCUGGUAACUUUCCAUAACUCUUUCGCAAUUGAAUGUAAUUUUGAUGCAAACCAAACACACAAAUCCCCAUCAGGAAGACGCCUUAUAAUAUGUACCCCAAAAAUAGGGAAAUAUUAUUCCCAUUUACUUUUUAAAUUGUCUGGACUCGUUUAUUAGCCCUUAAGAUUGUACUAAGCCUUUAUGGUGCAUUUACAAGUUGGAGAUUUCAUUUGAACUUCUGUAUGUUUUCUAUACACUCUAAAUAAUAUAAAUAUUACAUGUGUUAUUCUCUUUCAUACAGAUGCAUCUUGGGACAGGCUCAGCUACUACCCAUAUCACUAUGAAAGCCUCCCCACGCUCACACCUCUUCAUAUCACUGCCUCAGUACUUUUCCGCUCUGACCAACUAAUCUGACAACUGUGUGUUUGUCGCCUCCCACUUCUCCUUCUCAACCCCCUGCAAUUUGGCAAUGUGGAAAGUGUUUACGGACACCAUCAUCUGCUAUUAGCGGGUAGCACUGAACUGAGUGUUAACGGUAACUUUCACCAAAAGCCUAGUGUGUAUGUGUGUGUGCACAUGCACUUUCACACAUGCUAUAAGACUUCUGGGUAAUAUCAAGCACCAGUGAAAUGUGACCUUGCAGGCUACACAAACAAGUAUUUUGUGUUUCACCAAGAGAGGAAUCCCCUUUGGCCCUGUCACACCGAACAGCUGAUAACCCGAGGGGGGACUGUCUGCAGUGGAAAACUAAUUCCAGCGAAGCACCUGGUUCCAAAGUAAGUUGAGUUGAAUAGAGCCGUACCAAAGUGGAAACAUGGCCUUAAUGGCACAUACAGUUCAGAGAUUAGUUUGUCUAGAGCACCUUAAUUUACGUUUCUUGAAUUGUUCCAUUUAAAAUAAACAAAAUAUUAAAUAUAUUAAAGUUGACUGGGGAAAAUUAUAAUAUGUGUAUUAUGUGAAGACAGACCUCAUAAAGAAUGACAGAGAUGAUUGGAUCAACUAAAGGGCUGACAGAAGGAAACACGUGGUGACAGUGAGGAAGUAAGCGAAGAAGAGAUAUUGUUCUACUGGUGAGGACUGCCAGGAAAUACUGGGUGAAAAAUACAAAUUUGAGAACUGGUAUAUAACAAUGAAAAAAAGCUUUGCAUCCUCAAGGACAUACCAAAUAAAUGCCCAGUCACUGCUUUCUAGUCACUCUGGAAUAUGCUUUACUUUAAGUCUCAGUAAAAACAGACUUUUCACUAGUUUUCAACACACAUUUAUUUUCAAACAAAAUGUAAUCAUUAUAUAAAUUACUCUUGAUUAUACCAAGUCAGUCUGAUGCAUAUAUAUAUAUAUAUAUAUAUGUAUUAUAUAUAGUUUUGCCAGCUUGUCUCAGUCCAUGCUACUCUUUACUGCCGUGGAAGACUACAGUUUUAAAACCAUUGAUGGAAUGAAUGCAGAAAACAGAUACAA